AUUGAACGCUAGCGGGAUGCUUUACACAUGCAGGUCGAACGGCAGCGCGGACUUCGGUCUGGCGGCGAGUGGCGAACGGGUGAGUAAUGUAUCGGAACGUGCCCAGUAGCGGGGGAUAACUACGCGAAAGCGUAGCUAAUACCGCAUACGCCCUACGGGGGAAAGCAGGGGAUCGUAAGACCCUGCACUAUUGGAGCGGCCGAUAUCGGAUUAGCUAGUUGGUGAGGUAACGGCUCACCAAGGCGACGAUCCGUAGCCGGUUUGAGAGGACGACCAGCCACACUGGGACUGAGACACGGCCCAGACUCCUACGGGAGGCAGCAGUGGGGAAUUUUGGACAAUGGGGGCAACCCUGAUCCAGCCAUCCCGCGUGUGCGAUGAAGGCCUUCGGGUUGUAAAGCACUUUUGGCAGGAAAGAAACGUCGCGGGCUAAUACCCCGUGGAACUGACGGUACCUGCAGAAUAAGCACCGGCUAACUACGUG
rnacentral:rRNA from 1 species